rnacentral:rRNA from 1 species
AGCGAACGCUGGCGGCAUGCCUAGCACAUGCAAGUCGAACGAGACCUUCGGGUCUAGUGGCGCACGGGUGCGUAACGCGUGGGAACCUGCCCUUAGGUUCGGAAUAACUCCCCGAAAGGGGUGCUAAUACCGGAUAAUGUCUUCGGGCCAAAGAUUUAUCGCCUUUGGAUGGGCCCGCGUUGGAUUAGCUAGUUGGUAGGGUAAAAGCCUACCAAGGCGACGAUCCAUAGCUGGUCUGAGAGGAUGAUCAGCCACACUGGGACUGAGACACGGCCCAGACUCCUACGGGAGGCAGCAGUGGGGAAUAUUGGACAAUGGGCGAAAGCCUGAUCCAGCAAUGCCGCGUGAGUGAUGAAGGCCUUAGGGUUGUAAAGCUCUUUUACCCGGGAUGAUAAUGACAGUACCGGGAGAAUAAGCUCCGGCUAACUCCGUG